rnacentral:piRNA from 1 species
UGCAGAAAUGUGCUCAAAAUGGUGGACUAAU